GACGAACGCUGGCGGCGUGCCUAAUACAUGCAAGUUGAGCGCUGAAGGUUGGUACUUGUACCAACUGGAUGAGCAGCGAACGGGUGAGUAACGCGUGGGGAAUCUGCCUUUGAGCGGGGGACAACAUUUGGAAACGAAUGCUAAUACCGCAUAAAAACUUUAAACACAAGUUUUAAGUUUGAAAGAUGCAAUUGCAUCACUCAAAGAUGAUCCCGCGUUGUAUUAGCUAGUUGGUGAGGUAAAGGCUCACCAAGGCGAUGAUACAUAGCCGACCUGAGAGGGGGAUAGGCCACAUUGGGACUGAGACACGGCCCAAACUCCUACGGGAGGCAGCAGUAGGGAAUCUUCGGCAAUGGACGAAAGUCUGAACGAGCAACGCCGCGUGAGUGAAGAAGGGUUUCGGAUCGUAAAAAUCUGUUGGUAGAGAAGAACGUUGGUGAGAGUGGAAAGCGCAUAAAGUGACGGUAACUACCCAGAAAGGGACGGCUAACUACGUG
rnacentral:rRNA from 1 species